rnacentral:sRNA from 1 species
AGAGAACAAGAGAACUCUUAUUCUGUAAUUCAAAACUUGUACAGGAAAAUAUAAUGUAACAUGUACACUUAAUUAUUACGAGUUUCUCUCACUCGGAACACAAUCUCUUAUUAAAAGGAUAAUCCUUACAUGUACUUUAUGUGUGCUUUUUGUGUUGAUAUGUAGCUUUAAUUAAUGGGUCGUGAACUCGAUCUGUUUGUUUUCAAUUUUGCUAAGAUGAGAACUCUCAUUUAACUCUUACCCACAAUUUCAUCAUUUUUACCUGAGAUACGCCCCCUCCGUUCAAGCACCAGGGAAAACAAGUGUGUAAAAAUGCCCUGUUUUUUGUACUUGGUUGCAAGUCUUCAUCAUUUACUUGAUAAGCAUAAGAAAAAGAAUCGAUUCAACAUUCAGUCAAAUGCGUGUAAUUUUGUGAUACAAAUAACCAAUCAAUAUUUUUGGAUUACUUCCCUUUGACCGAGAUGAGAGAGAGAGAGAGAGAGAGAGAGAGAGAGAGAGAGAGAGAGAGAGAGAGAGAGAGAUACAUGUAGCAGUUAAAUACGUUUUAAUCAUAUACAUGCACUAUAUAUAUAAUAUGUGUAUUGGCACUGCUUAUUUCGGAACAUUCGUGAUUUUUCUUCCAUGAGUAUUUGACACAUUAGUAUAUAUUACAUAUUUAAGAAACAUAUUUAAUUUAAAGAAUGUACUUCAUAUAUGUAUACAUGCAAUUUUCUCUGUACAUGUAAUUAUUUCUUAGAUAUAACCUUAAACCAUUUAAUUAAAGUACAGAUUAAUGUAAA